AUUCGCGAGCCAUUCUCCCCAGGCUAAUACCACCACAAACGGUUCAUAGGGCAUUAAGAAACUCUCAAAAGAAUUGACACCGUUAGAACCAACUAUGGUAAAAGCACUAGUUACAGUUCUGUUGGUUAUGUUAGUUACCGUUGAAUAUAUCGAUGAAAUUGACGGCUUGCUCCGUGCUGGCAGAGAUCGAAUCGAGGUGUCACGUGACAAUGACAUUCACGAAAGUGAGGCUGCUGAAAUACGCAAGAAUCGACCUUCUUUUCAUUUAAGAAGAAGUAGAAUUCAAAAUGCUGAGGAAUGACCAUCGAGCUCAGACAUUUUUACGCAGAACUUCUUGCCCUAAAUAUGUGAACAGUUCAUAAAAAAUGAGAAUUGUAAAGAAUAAAGGCAUCUUUAUAUUUGUCAUUUA